rnacentral:tRNA from 1 species
GCCCGGUUAGCUCAGUCGGUAGAGCACCAAACUCUUAGUCUGGAUGUCGCGGGUUCGAGCCCCGCGUCGGGCU